UACGUAGGGUGCGAGCGUUAAUCGGAAUUACUGGGCGUAAAGCGUGCGCAGGCGGUUAUAUAAGACAGAUGUGAAAUCCCCGGGCUCAACCUGGGAACUGCAUUAGUGACUGUAUGGCUAGAGUGCGGCAGAGGGGGAUGGAAUUCCGCGUGUAGCAGUGAAAUGCGUAGAUAUUUGGAGGAACACCGAUGGCGAUGGCACGCCCCGUGGCUAACACUGACGCUCAUGCACG
rnacentral:rRNA from 1 species